CUUGCUGCCGCCAUGAUUCUGAGGCCUCCCCAGCCAUGUGGAACUGCAAUACUUUAAAGACACAAAGUCUCAACAACCAUCUUCCGCUUGACGAGACAGAUCAUUCUAAUUUGAGCAGAAGCUACUAUGUCCUGCCCUUUGAACGCGGCGGCCCGGACAGCUGACAAGGACACACUGUGUAUUUCCAUUCCAAUUCUGGGAGUGCUCUGAGGCCUCUGGGGGAGAAGGACCCAUGAAAUAUUCAAAACAUAAGUGAAUAAAAUAUCUAGGUGCUAGAUAUGGGCCAGGAAGAGCCCUCGGCCCUGCAAAGUGUGUGUGAUGGUGAGAAGCUACCGGAAGAGAUGGUCCCUGUGCUUGGUUCAUUCCUUGGACAUUUAUCAAGCUGACGAAUGUAGCAGAGGUGCUUCAGUCGGCUGUAAUUCCACGGGUGGAGUGCUGGCUGGAGAGUUACCUGGGGCUGUCACACUGCAUGGGCUCCGGGACACUGUGGCUGCCCUUAUGUGGUGUCCCCGGAGGGCCCUGCAGGUGUCACACCGCUGCUCCACACUGCCACCUGCUGUCAGCAUCUGUGCAACGUAUCCAGGUCUCUGGGGGCUAGAAUGAAAAACAUGCAUCUCGUAACCAAUGAAAUCGGGCUUGUCCUGAAGACCUCGUGCAUUCAUCCAUUCUCACACUGCUAUAAAGACAUACCUAAGACUGGGCACUUCAUGAAGAAAAGAGGUUUAAUUGGCUCACGGUUCUGCAGGCUUUACAGGAAGCAUAGCAGCUUCCACUUCUAGGGAGGCCUCAGGAAACUUAUAGUCAUGGUGGAAGGUGAAGGCGGGACAAGGCGUCUCACAUGGGAGCAGUAGAGAGAGAAAAAGAGGGGGUGCCGCACACUUUGAAACAACCAGAUCUAACGAUAACUCACUAUCAUGAGAACAGCACCAAGAAGCUGGCGCUAACCCACUUGUGAAGGACCACCACCAUGAUCCAAUCCCUUCCCACCAGGUCCCACUUCCAACGUUGGGGAUUACACUUCACGGUGAGAUUUGUGCAGAGAGGACACAGGUCCAAACCAUA
rnacentral:lncRNA from 1 species